rnacentral:rRNA from 1 species
AACGAACGCUGGCGGCAGGCCUAACACAUGCAAGUCGAACGCCGUAGCAAUACGGAGUGGCAGACGGGUGAGUAACACGUGGGAACGUACCCUUCGGUUCGGGAUAACUCAGGGAAACUUGAGCUAAUACCGGAUACGUCCGAGAGGAGAAAGAUUUAUUGCCGAGGGAUCGGCCCGCGUCUGAUUAGCUUGUUGGUGAGGUAACGGCUCACCAAGGCGACGAUCCAUAGCUGGUUUGAGAGAACGACCAGCCACACUGGGACUGAGACACGGCCCAGACUCCUACGGGAGGCAGCAGUGGGGAAUCUUGGACAAUGGGCGCAAGCCUGAUCCAGCCAUGCCGCGUGAGUGAUGAAGGCC